rnacentral:sRNA from 1 species
UCUCGCAGCGCUCAAGGCGCACGGUGG